GUUUGAAUUGUAGAAAAGUCAGUGAAAAGAAUUCAUGAUUUUCGCAACGCACCAAAUUGCUGCUCUAAGUUGGGAAUGAAGUUGGGUUAGGAAACCUAUUUUCUUUUAGCAAUUAAGAUCACUAAAAUGAACGGUGUUUCUUGUUCGCU